ACCGCAGACCAAGCAAGCUGCAGAUUUAAAUAAAACAAAUUUCUACCAAGUGCUGUCCUCCUCGAUUCUCAAAAAUUCAAGUAGGCCCUGCUGAAAUUCAACAAGGCAGGAAACGUUGGCUCCAACGGCCGCUGGAGGAGCAACUAGAGGCGGAGGAGCAUGAGGAGGCGGAGGAAGCUUGGAUUCUGCGGAAAGUGUAAAACACAGCUCAAAUUAUUUUGCAUAUACAAAGAUGCUUGGAAAUGAAAUUGACGGAUGUAUUUUCCACAAACUGCGAUACAGUCAUCAGAUGAAUUUUGUCAACGAUUAUCGAAAUUGUUUUUGAAGCUGAUCGGCUGCGGAAAAUUCAUUAGCCUACUUCAAAGAUUGUAAUGUGGCAUGCCAAAAGAUGUACGCAUUGUUGUUGGUUUAAUUUUUCCAUCAUUUUCCGGGGGCGAAAUUUCGAAAUUUCAAUUUAAAUGAAAAACCUGCAUUGUCAAAGAAAUGCGUAGCAGCCCGAGUGCGUCGACUCGCCUUUGUUGAACUUAAAUGGCAAAUAUCUGACGGAUAAAUUGAGCUUAUUUAUCAAAGUUUUAAUUAAAAACUUCAUAGCAGCAGUCUCUAAAUUGCUAAGUGUGUAAUUACAACUGCCACGACAGCAACAGCAGCAACAACAACAACAACAACAACAACAACAAGUGGCAAAAAUCUGCACACCUCAAGGCAGCAGUUGAAGACGAACGAGAGCUGCAGAAUACCUUAAUGUCAUCAGCUUACGAAACGGAAGCGGAAGCAGUUCCCUGCGCCCUAAUGUAUGCAACAAAUAAAAUUCACACAAAAUUGAAUUAGACUUAAUAAACCAGAAUACCAAAGCACCAGCUGGAGGCAGCUGGAUGUAUGGAUGUAUGCCUUUGCCCGCUUCUCCCUGCUAAUUUUUGCAGCGGAAUUGCCGGGCACUGGCCCAUUAAACACAAAAGUCGCAAAUAAAUAUAAAAAUGGCGCUGCAAGACGAAGUACUACUAGACGUAAUAGAGAAGCGCACAGAAAUUCAUAAAGCGCGCAGCGCGCUUUACGCGUGACUGAAUUUAACGGUGCUCUGCGGAGGCAGCAACAAAAAGGAACAGGCAACAAACACCCAGAAAGAAAAAGUACAACACAAAAAAAAAAAAAAAAUGGCAAGAAAAUCACAAACAACAUUCCAAGCAUUACAAAGGCCACGCACAGCAACAACGCAGAACAACUCGCAACGGACGGCGGACGGAUAAGAUGAGACCAGAGACAUAAACAGAAACAGAAACAGAAACGGGAACAGUUACAGAAAUGGGAAUGGGCACAGAAAUGGGAACGGGAACAGAAGAGUGCAACCAGCGGCAAAAUUAACGAAAUUGGCAAAGUUCUUUUGAAUCCUACACUUUUCGGCACACAAAAUUUGAUUGCAUCAAGGUUCUCACAAAUCUGUAUGCUGUACUCAACAUUCGUUGGAAAUGGCAAUCUUUAUGCCAUAUGGAAAUGAACGAGUUCUUCGCAACUCAAGGGGAAUUUUCCGGAGAAAUGUUCGAGUAAGUGAGCUUUUAUUUAUUAAAGAUCCGA